AAUAGAAACGUUAAACGAUAAUUAUUUUUACUUCAAUAGAAUAUUUUCGAUAGAAUAUUUAAAAAAAAUGUUGCAAUAGAAGGAGGCCAAUUUUUCAACAGAAAGUUUCAGCCAGAGGAUUAUUAAUGUAUAUUAAAAUAUUAAUAUUAAAAUUGUUAAUUAUAAACUGUUUAUAAAUAGAACAAUCUUUUUCAUUUACAAUUUGGCUAAUAGUCUUUUGCUUUACAGGGACUCUAAUAAAAUAUUGCUCAUAUAUGUUGCUCAUUGUUAAAUGAUGGAUUAACAAUUUUCUAUAUCGCAUGAGGACACUGCUCUUGCAAAAUAGUUUAUUUUUAUUAGCUGUUUGUGAUACUUUUGCCUUAAUAAAUAGCUGGUAAACUGGUGAUUUUUCAUAUGUGUCACACUUCUAGCAAUUGGAAUUUAGCAAGGCGACUAGGAAAUUUCGCUGUUGCGAAUAUUUCGAUUAAUCAGAAAUUGGAGGAAGAGGAAUCCAUGUGCAGCGAAAUCGCUGGAUUUCCCGGGUUAAAUAACGUCAAAGAGCACCAGACAUUUUACUCUCUAAAGCUUUCUACUUACUUCUCACAUACCAAACUUCAAGCUGUGGCAGAAAAAUUGCAUACGAUAUUCGAUUGAAAUUAUCUUUGCAACCAAGAGCACAUCAUUCGCGGACGAAUUAUGUUUGCAAAUUAAUAGAAUAAAUGCGUGAAGUUCCUUUCUUGUACUAUAUGUCUAGCUAUGCGAGAAUUACAAUUAGGAUACUUUUAUUAAAUUCGAUUACAUUUUAUCAUAUGCUUUUAUAAUAUAAAUUUUGUCUGCAUUUAAUAACAAAGAUGAGAACAUUUUUUCCUAUAGUGAAACUAUCAAUGCAAGUAUAAUUACUUCUUUGUCCUUGAGAUUUCUUAUAUUUCUGGAACAUCAGAUAUAAAGAGUAUGUACUUUCUCAACUUUUUAUAGAAAAUUAAUAUUACAAAAAAAAAAAAAAACAAAAACAAAGAAAAGGUACACAGUUAUGAAAUAUUUGGUUUUAACAUCAAACGUAUACAAAUUUUCCUACCUUUGCUUACUUUGCACCUUUCAUGAACAAAGUAUUGCAAAAUUUGGAAAGAAGAUACAGUGCCAUGAAUAAUUAUGAACUGCACUUCAUUUUUAGGAUAUUUCAUAAUAUUCGAAGAAAAAUUGACAAUAUCCUUUAAUAUAACGUAAACCAAAGCUGAAGAUUAAACAAACAAAAAUUUGUCUCCUUCGAAAUCUGGAGGAAAACCUUUUUCUAAUUAAACUUGUAUUGUAAACUUGUAUUUGUAAGUUAAUUUUGUUACAUUUUCAUUCAAUAUUUUUAACAGAUGUUUCUUUAUCUUUGAUUACUCCUAUUAAUCUGUUACUCUACACUGUCUACCAACUUAUUCAAAGCAAAUCUUAUUCUUCUUUUUUAAAUUUAACGAUAUUUUCUACAGGUGGUUCCUCCCGGUGAUAAACUUUCCUCGCUGGAAUUCCCCAUAGGCUGUCGAUUGGGAUUUCGGACGAGAACUCGAUGCUGGCCAUGGUAAUAAUUCCAUUUCGAAAUCUUGAAAUCAUUUUUCUGUACCGGCGGCUGUACGAAUAGGAGCACUGUCUCGCUGAAAAAUUGUCUUUUCGUCUCCUCUUUCAAUUACACAGGAGCUGAGGUUUCUUGAAAUUAUCGAAGAAAGAACGAGUCUAUGAUUACUCGCAGCACAGUAUCCCAAGGAACAUGAACGUGAAAAAGGAGCGAGGAGAACAGCAGCUUUAAAAUUCGAAACUUACGCCACUACAACUAACUAGAACAACUUGUUUCAAUCGCUACAUUGUUACAUCAAAACCUUCGUUUCACUACAAAAUUAUUAACUCAACCCUCUGUACGGAGUCUGCGUUAUUUUUAUUUAACGUAAUCGAUUAACAGCAGAAAUAUUUCGUUCAUUUGCGAUGUGAAAUAUUCAUCUGAUUUAUUUACUUGUUCGACAAACCUUCUGCUGUAGCGGAUUAACGCGCGGGACGCAGGAGCAAAAAGGGACAAAAUACAGUGGAGAAGUGAAAAGUAGCGGAAGAUGCGCGGCGUAUGUACGAAAGAAGAGUAAAAGGAUUUUGUGAAUAGACAGACAGAAUGAGAAUUUUAAGAAGCAAUGACAAUUUUAAGUGUAAAGACAAGUUACGACCUAACACUGUCGCAGAAAACGCUAGAAACAAUGUCUUCAAGAUACUUUAGAUUGGCCGAAGAUAUCUUCGCUCGUACGACACGAGUUCACGUACGCUUCACCGUACGAUUUAGCGUGCAGUGUUGUUUCACGCGAAACAACGGAACACUUGCUAAGCUUCUCGAUGGUACAUUGAGCAACAGCAACUGCUGAUGUCCGGCCAGUCGACGAUAUCUUUAGACAUUUAAUUAUUAACACUUUACCGACCGAUAGCCGAUUAAUCGGUUUUUUGUUAUCGACACUUACCGACCGACAGGCUAUUAAUCGGCUUUCUGUCUCCGACGCUUACCGACCGAUAGCCUAUUAAUCGGCUUUUUGUCAACGACAAUCUUUCUCAUUAUUUCAGCAGUAGUUUGUUAUUUAGUACCAAGGUUGCUUGUUCAGUUGCGUUAGUUUCGUAGGCUCUCGGUUUUAUACGAAUUUCAAAAACGUACCGUUCGCGAUGAAGAAAAAGAACGGUAUUGGAGAGUCUAAACCGAAACAGAGCCGGCGCCAGGGACAGUCUGCGCCUGAGAUGCCGGUCGGACGUGCGUGUGCUGUUGAAUCGCUAGCGGUCGGUAAAGCGCUGACAAAGAUUACAUGAAAUAUGAUUGUCCGAAUUAUCGUUAGUUGAAAUUUGUCGUAACUAGACCGCGGAUGUUUAUGCAGAAUUAUAGUUCUGUGAAUAAGACUGAAGAAACGUUGCAGCAAAAAUUUCGUUGUUUCUUUUUUUACAGCAACUAUACUAUGGAUAUUUUAUAUAUCUUCGUGUAUUAUGCGCGUGCACGUGUACAUUUUGUCUUAAUUAAAUGCGCGUAAACGUCCGCGGUGCAACUGUAGUAUCGUUAGAAAUGCAGCGAAUUUUGUUUCCAGUAGUUUGAUGGUUUCAGCGAUGAUCUCUGUCGGAAAUUGGAAAACGACAACGAGAACGGCGUAUCUUAAUUGUCAAUGUCGAAUACGCGUUGAAACUUGCAACAGCCAAUUUUAUCCAGCUAACGAUAGUUACCUCGCAGUUCAGCACUGCACGACCAUCCUUGAGAAACGCUCUUAAAUUUCAAUCUACUUUACCGACCGGUAUAAAGUAGAAUUGCGCUUUUAACGCUCUCGGCGAGGUUUGGCUAGGUAAACAGGCGAGCAAAAAUAUUAUUCUCAGAUAAACAGAAGAUUUCGUAGAAUUACAAAAAUAUUGUCAACCGGCGGUACGUUGUUUCUCGUAGGUGUGUGUGUGCGUGUGUAAGCCCAGAUGAAAUUAAGGAUUUCAUAAAUAUUUACGGAUACGUGUUCGUAAAUAUUGAUUUAUAAAUAUGGAAGACUCGCGGGCAAAUGGAUUUCACUGGCGGCAAAUACGAUACGAGUUAUUUUUUCACUAUUUUAAUAUAAAAAUAACGUCGUUCUCGUUUCGGUUCCAUCUACGUAUUAUUUUCACGGCUUGGAAUUUUCUACUUUCUGUUUCUGGCUUUAUUUCUACGU